GAUGAACGCUGGCGGCGUGCCUAAUACAUGCAAGUCGAACGAACAGAUGAGGAGCUUGCUCCUCUGACGUUAGCAGCGGACGGGGGAUUAACAAGAGGUUAACCUCCCGCCACGACUGGGUGAACAUCGGGAAACCGGAGUUACUACCGGAUAAUAUAUUGAACCUCUUGGAUCAAUAGUGUAAGAAGGUUUUUCUGUCGCUGAUGGAUGGAUCCGCGCCGGAUUAGCUAGUUGGUAAGGUAACGGCUUACCAAGGCAACGAUGCGUAGCCGACCUGAGAGGGUGAUCGGCCACACUGGAACGGAGACACGGUGCAGACUCCUACGGGAGGCAGCAGUAGGGAAGCUUACGCAAUGGGGGAAAGCCGGACGGUGCAACGCCGCGUGAGUGAUGAAGGUCUUCGGAUCGUAAAACUCUGUUAUUAGGGAAGAACAAAUGUGUAAGUAACUAUGCACGUCUUGACGGUACCUAAUCAGAAAGCCACGGCUAACUACGUG
rnacentral:rRNA from 1 species